rnacentral:lncRNA from 1 species
UAGAUGAGAAUUUGAAUUGGAUAUGAUAUGACGAUAUGUAUGUCAUAAAACAUGUAGAUCUGACUUUGACUUUGGUUGAUUCACCAUCAGCACCGUCUUGUUUAAAAGGUUGUUUGUUGUGUGAAGCACAUUAAUGCAGUGGAGGUGAUUGAUUUUCACUUCUUCCUUGUUGUUGGUAUUGUUUGUUCUAGUACAUUUUUUAUUUACAAGUUGUGUGUGCGCGUUGACGAAUUGACGGAUCCAUGAAACAACUGCUCU